UGCUUUAAGUCACUAGGUAUGUUACGUGGGUUUGUCUUCCUUAGGGUGGAGUUAGUGGAACCGAAAAAGAUGUCUCCCUCACAGCGUUUGUGACAAAAGAAUUGCAUCGUUCCUUGGCGGCCUUUCAACAGAAGAAUAUUCAGAGAUUUCACGAGUGUUGAUUUCCCAAAGUGGAGCAUCUCACAUUUAAUGGAUUAAAAUCCACUUGCCGUUUCUGCAACUGAUCUGGAGGCAACACACAGCCCUGGUAUCUCAAAUGUGGCUACAGAAACUAUGCCCCCAACGAAUGAGUCUCCAACCACGAUCACUCACUUGGAUUUACCUGACCCUGUCCCACAGCAGGGCGGUUUGUACAACGGACCUGGCUACUGCUGAUUAUAUAACCGUUCCAGUUUGGUUUUAGAUCAGUGUUAACCUUGAUGAAGUGGAUAGCCAAGCACCUCAGUGGUCUACAGUACAGGAGAAAUAAAUUCUGAAGCUCACGGAUUCUGUGACAGUCAAAGACAAGCACUGAAUUGUUCUAACCUCAUUUCCAACACCUGGCCCAUAGCCUUGCAUGGCUUGGAUAACACUUGCACAUUUAAAAAAAAUGUAAGGAUGAUGGUAAGGACAUGGAAUUUUGUGAUAUGGUCAUAUUCUCUCUUGUUGGAGCUGAUUGCUGCUUAGCACUUGUAUGGUGCAAAUGUUACUUAUCCUUUGUCAGGCCAAGCCUGAUAAUUGUCCAAGUCUCACUGUAUUUUCUCAUCGUUGACUUCACUGUUGGAAAAGUCAUGAAUUCUGCUGGACACCUGGACAAUAUUCAAUGAACAUUCAUGUCUCCACUUUGGUUCAAGUGAAGACAUGACUUCAACCAGUGCAGGUAUCCAGUGAAUGCCACUGACUCAACUUCCUAUAACUCUGCUGAACACCACAUUCAAUCAGAAGUUGCCUUGGUGGAAAUGACAGAUUGCAGUUUCCUUCCUUUUCAAGCUCAGGAUCUCUGAUCAUAUUUGUGGUAAAUCCUGAAUGAGGUUGCGAGAAGUGUGGCAUGACGAAAAGUGAACUGAGCCUCAGUGUGCAACUAUUUGACAGCACUGUCAUCCAGAUGUUGCAUUACUUUGCUGAUGAUUGAGAAUACAUUGAGGUCAGAAUUGGUCAGGACAAUUUGUCUGCCGAUUGCGUGAUAGGUCAUCUUUCUCUGAAAUGUGAGUGUUGCAAGUGUUUAAAAAUGUACUGGAAAACAUUUACUGUUGGUGUGGUGACGUUGGGGCACAUUGUUCCAAUACAGUUUGUGGGAUGCUGCCAGGUGCCAUGGCAUUUACAGUAUCCAGAACAUUCAGUCUUGUCAUUGCGUGAAAUAAUUUGAAUUGCGUGUAAGUUGAGAUCUGUGAUGCCUCCUCAGGAUGAGCGCAAGAAGAUCA